AUUCCCAGAUUUUGGCAGUAGACCUGUACUGGGAACAUUUGCACUAACAUUAACCAUUUGAAAGCUCCUUAGUGCCCUUAGAGACCAAAAGGAGAAUGCUUCCUUUGAGGAAAAUGCCCCUUAGCAGAGGAGAGGAGAUACUCUAGAGGAGUUAAUAUCUUUCCUUUUUUUCUUGAGUUCUGAGGGGGGCAAAGGCUCAACUUUUGGAUGUUGACAUUAAUCCCACAGAAACUGAGCAAUGAGCUGUGCCCCCACUGGCAGCUCCUGCAGCAGGGAAGGUUAAAAUAAAUGGUUGUUCAAUUCCAGGCUGUAUAGUGCGUGACACAUUAGUGCUGCUUUUAGCCAUCAAUAUAUUGCUAUUUAAAGAUGACUGAGAUUUUUAAGUCUGAUGAUUAUUCAUAUUAAAAGUGUUUCUUUUUCAUUUGAGAUUUUAUGCUGUCAUGCAGACAUCUCCAUAAUUAAAUGUGUGCUGCUAACUCUUUCUGUCUCCAGUUAAGGAGACAUUAAUGGGAACCUACCAAAAACAACUGCCAGAAAUGUUCCUGCACUUUAAUUUGAAAAUAGUAAUAUCAAAUUACAGUGAUGAUAAAAGUCCAGUAUGAGAUCACUAAAGGGAAUCAAGGCUAAAUGGUUUUGGAAUAAUCCAAGGUAGUUUGUUCAAACUGCUCUUUUUCUCACAGUUUUUCUAUAGUCACAGCAGAGACCUAUUCUCUUCAGCAUAAGGAGGGGUUUAAAAUUAAACACUUUUAAGCACAAAAUCUCUCCACUUAUAAAAGAGCAGCACUGAAGUUGCAAAAUCAAAGACCUUAAUUUUAGGGAGCACCAAAAUUCAAGUCAAGUCUGUCUUAGCCUGUCUCUGUCUAAUAUUGCACACUAUUUAAUGCCAUAAUCAAACAGUAUUUUUUUCUGUGGGAAGAAUCACACAAGGGAAUGGACUAUGUUCACUUUGGGAGUAGCUACGCAGUAUUUCAUUUUCCAAUGUGCGGCAUAGGGUUUAAUCCAGCCUGGGGGGGAGAGGUCUUACACAAGUCUUGAUAAUCUGAUCUGAUCCUUGGUCAUUUACAGACCAGCCCAUAUCUAAUCUGGGCACUGAAUCCACAUGUUAAAAUUUUCCUCUGAUUUUUUUUGUCUUUAGAAUUUUCUGUCCCUACAGUAAGAACAAACCACCUGCUGCAGUGCCUGCAGGAGGGAGCUCCCUCACUGAGUAAACAACCAUGGCUUGAUCCUGCCUUCCAGGGAGCAGAUGGAUGCUUGAGAUUACCUGAGGUAUAGAAGGCUAUGGAAUGGGGCUGAGCUACACCUUACACAACCUGCAGACCAAGCUGGAGGCCCAUAACACAACUAAAAUUGGAUCAAUUCUUUUGUAACAAGUGAGUGGGACCUUAAAUGGGUAUGUUGUUUGUACUCAUCCCUUUGCUGCUAAGGAGCAGAGAACAAAUAUUUGUACAACUGCCUUCACAAAUCCAGUUCACAUAAACCCUCUGCCCUCCCUGCAAUAAAAAGCUGCCAAAAAAGA